CCAUGGUGUUAACGACCAUACAUUCAUUCCACCACAUCUCCAGAUAAGAAAGUAAGAAAUACAUGAAAGAAGAGGAAUUUUGUGUGCCAGUAGUAUUUGGAAGAAAUGCUGGAAGUCCUUUCUGGGUUGGAAAUUUGCUACAAAGAAUGUAUUUCUGUGAAAAUCUCUGUCAGGAGAGAAGGGCCAGGCUGGGCUGCUUGGUGUGGAAGAGCUACUACCACGAUGGCACAACAGGGAGCCACAUGUGGCCCGUGGGCUGUAAGCUGUACAUGACUGGCCUAGAUAAAGUUUCAUCAAUGUCAACCGAAAUCCCUGAAAAAUUGGAACAGAUAUAUUCUAAGCUCAACUUUUCUGUGGAAGAGUUGCUGCCUGGUGUAAUGACGUAUUAAUAAAUGAUUAUGGAAGUAUAUUACUUACUAAGAUAAUUAUUUAAAAGCUGGGAGAUCUGUCUGUAUGAUACAGAGGAAAGAAAUAGAGGAAAAAGAAGAACAAAAGAAGAAAGAAUGGAAGAAAGAAGGGAAGAAAGAAAAAAAAUGAAAGAGAAAAAAGAAAGAUUUGAUUGCAGAAACACCUAAAAUGAUCUUGUGACUGCAUAUUGCAUGUUCUCUCACUUUAGCAAUAUUCAUUUAUCACUUUAGUAUAAAUUAAUUAGUAAUUCUGUCUAUAUUGAGUUUGCAUGCACUAUUUCACCAUUAAGUAUAAUGCAUUCCAAAUGUCCUGUCUGGGCUAUACAACUUUUUCAUGAGUGCAGUAGACCCUCGACUGCAUGCUUUUAUCAUUAAAAUAUUGGUCUGGCUAAAGUUCAACGUACUAAGCAGAAACAACUGUGUCUUAGUGUGGUGGAAGAGGUAACAACAAGUCACCAAAGAGCUGAUCAGACUCCUUGAUAGAAACUAUCACUAUGAAACCUUGGGAUACUGGAGUGUAAAACAGGUAUCUGUUUGCGUCUAAGGGUAAACAGGAGGUUCUUACUGCAUUGUUAAUCUUGUCAUAAUUGAGAAACCUGUCAUCCUUUAUCACUCUUGUUUGGGAGAAGCUGGGGCAAUUAACUGAUUAGAGGAACUGUUAGAGGAACAAGAACUUCUUUUUUGUAAGUGAAUGGUAUAUAAGAUGUAUGUUGAACACAAUAAAGGAGAACUGU